rfam:Atribacteria bacterium 34_128 MPI_scaffold_1295, whole genome shotgun sequence.
AAUUGAAUACAAGCGCCAGAACUUACUCAAUUUGAAGGGCUAAGUGUUUUGAUAAGGUAAGUUGACGAGGAAGGAGUUUAUCGAAAAUUCGGCGGAUGCUCCUGGGUUGGCCAGACCCUUAGAAAACCUGUAAAACUUGUGAGUAAUUGCAAGGACAGAGAGGUUUUUAUGGCAAAAU